CCCUUAGAUGUUCUGGGCUGCACGCGCGCUACACUGAUGCGCUCAACGAGUUUAUGACCUUGCCCGGAAGGGUUGGGUAAUCUUUUCAAAACGCAUCGUGAUGGGGAUAGAUUAUUGCAAUUAUUAAUCUUCAACGAGGAAUUCCUAGUAAGCGCGAGUCAUCAGCUCGUGCUGAUUACGUCCCUGCCCUUUGUACACACCGCCCGUUGCUCCUACCGAUUGAGUGAUCCGGUGAAUAAUUCGGACUGCGGCAAUGUUCAGCUCCUGAAUGUUGCUGCGGAAAGUUUAGUGAACCUUAUCACUUAGAGGAAGGAGAAGUCGUAACA
rnacentral:rRNA from 1 species